AGAGUUUGAUCCUGGCUCAGGACGAACGCUGGCGGCGUGCCUAACACAUGCAAGUCGAGCGGAGACAGUGAGUAGCUUGCUAUGAGCUGUUUUAGCGGCGGACGGGUGAGUAACGCGUGAGCAACCUUUCCCAGACAGGGGAAUAACACACCGAAAGGUGUACUAAUACCGCAUAAGACCACGGGAUCACAUGGUUCUGGGGUAAAAGAUUUAUCGGUUUGGGGUGGGCUCGCGUCCGAUUAGGUAGUUGGUGAGGUAACGGCCCACCAAGCCGACGAUCGGUAGCCGACCUGAGAGGGUGAUCGGCCACAUUGGGACUGAGACACGGCCCAAACUCCUACGGGAGGCAGCAGUGGGGAAUAUUGCACAAUGGGGGAAACCCUGAUGCAGCGACGCCGCGUGAGUGAAGAAGUAUUUCGGUAUGUAAAGCUCUAUCAGCAGGGAAGAAAAUGACGGUACCUGACUAAGAAGCCCCGGCUAACUACGUGCCAGCAGCCGCGGUAAUACGUAGGGGGCAAGCGUUGUCCGGAAUAAUUGGGCGUAAAGGGCGCGUAGGCGGCUCGGUAAGUCUGGAGUGAAAGUCCUGCUUUUAAGGUGGGAAUUGCUUUGGAUACUGUCGGGCUUGAGUGCAGGAGAGGUUAGUGGAAUUCCCAGUGUAGCGGUGAAAUGCGUAGAGAUUGGGAGGAACACCAGUGGCGAAGGCGACUAACUGGACUGUAACUGACGCUGAGGCGCGAAAGUGUGGGGAGCAAACAGGAUUAGAUACCCUGGUAGUCCACACUGUAAACGAUGAAUGCUAGGUGUAGGGGGUAUCGACCCCUUCUGUGCCGCAGUCAACACAAUAAGCAUUCCGCCUGGGGAGUACGGCCGCAAGGUUGAAACUCAAAGGAAUUGACGGGGGCCCGCACAAGCA
rnacentral:rRNA from 1 species